rnacentral:rRNA from 1 species
AGAGUUUGAUCCUGGCUCAGAUUGAACGCUGGCGGCAUGCUUUACACAUGCAAGUCGAACGGCAGCGCGGGGCAACCUGGCGGCGAGUGGCGAACGGGUGAGUAAUAUAUCGGAACGUACCCAAGAGUGGGGGAUAACGUAGCGAAAGUUACGCUAAUACCGCAUACGAUCUAAGGAUGAAAGCAGGGGAUCUUCGGACCUUGUGCUCCUGGAGCGGCCGAUAUCUGAUUAGCUAGUUGGUGAGGUAAAGGCUCACCAAGGCCACGAUCAGUAGCUGGUCUGAGAGGACGACCAGCCACACUGGAACUGAGACACGGUCCAGACUCCUACGGGAGGCAGCAGUGGGGAAUUUUGGACAAUGGGCGAAAGCCUGAUCCAGCAAUGCCGCGUGAGUGAAGAAGGCCUUCGGGUUGUAAAGCUCUUUUGUCAGGGAAGAAACGGUGAGGGCUAAUAUCCCUCGCUAAUGACGGUACCUGAAGAAUAAGCACCGGCUAACUACGUGCCAGCAGCCGCGGUAAUACGUAGGGUGCAAGCGUUAUCCGGAAUCACUGGGCGUAAAGGGUGCGUAGGUGGCUCAUCAAGCCAGAGGUGAAAGGCAUUGGCUCAACCAAUGUAAGCCUUUGGAACUGACGAGCUUGAGUGCAGGAGAGGUAAGUGGAAUUCCUAGUGUAGAGGUGAAAUUCGUAGAUAUUAGGAGGAACACCAGUGGCGAAGGCGACUUACUGGACUGUAACUGACACUGAGGCACGAAAGCGUGGGGAGCGAACAGGAUUAGAUACCCUGGUAGUCC